CGGCAUGGGACGGAGGUUGCAACUUGCAACGGCUCAAAUGGCGAAAUGGACUACAGUUUGUGAAAGUUGGAAAAGUUCCUGGAAAAAAUGAACGUCACGUGAUGUUGGCCAAUGGCGACUUGCAAGUUUUGUCUGCGCAUCAAGGCGACGAGAAUCAUUUGUAUCAUUGUCGAGUUCUCGUCCAGCCCAUCAGGCAAACAAUGACCAGUUUCACUGCUGGACGAAUCAUCCUCAGUCAAGAAUCCAGGACAAAGAUGGCACAAGUCAUUGUAGAAACUGUGAAUCGAAUUCGAAGUUUGGCGUGGACGAGAUGCCGUUUUACCUUGUGUUUUUCACGGAUAUCUUCCGCAUAAAAUCAAAUGGUACAAAAGUCAAACGAUUCAGUAUGGCAAUUUGUUGUUGCCACUGGUGACAUCAGCUGCCACGCAAGAGCAUCGUGAAGGAGUGCUGGGACUUGGGCGUCAUCGCCUCAUUGGUGGCACUUUACUCAUCGCUUCCGUCGUCACCGAAGAUCAGGGCAGUUACAUAAUUUGUUUUGUCAACAAUUCCAUGGGAUUAGUCGAAUCACGUACCGAACUCGUUUUUCGUGACAAAUUACAAGUCAGAAUCGUCGAAACGUCGUCGUCGUCGCUGCCGCCGCAUCGGCUGCCCAGCACACUCAAGUCGUCGAUGCAGAGACGUCCGUCACCAUCACGUGUCAUUUCUCCGGUAGUCCCCAGGCCGGUUGUCAGUUGGCUCAAAGAUGGCCAGCGCUACUAGGUGGGCAAUAGUGGGCGUGUUUCUUCUUCAUCCGGCGACGACGGCUACACCGAUAUGGUCCAGUUAUCCAUUUCGUCCGUCCAACGUGAAGAUGAGGGAAUAUACCAAUGCCUGGCAUCCAAUGACGAAGGAGAUUGGGCCCAAGCAUCGGCCCAGCUCGCCAUUGGAGCAUUUCCUCCUCAUUUGAAAGAAACGUUCAGUCGGCAAGUUGUACAUCCGGGAAGUUCAGUCUCGUUGAAAUGUUUAGUCUCUGGCACUCCGCUGCCUCAUUUCACUUGGACGCUGGACGGGUUUCCGUUAUCGCCCGUUUCCGAACGAUAUUUCCUCGGCCAGCAGCAACAAACGGGUCACGACGAUCUUGUAGUGGCUCAUCUCAACAUAACCCACGUCCGAGUCGAAGACGGAGGCAAUUACAAAUUUGACGAUCGAUCCGUUGGAUAAGAGCAGCGACGCCGGUCUUUAUAGUUGCGAGGCGCGUGGCCAGAACGGACUCUCGGCUCGCCAGUCACUUCAACUCAACAUCCUCGCUUUGCGAAAAUAUUGACUCGGCGCCUUUUUCUUCCCCCCCUCCGCCCUGUAAACUUGCUCGGUCGCUGUGUAUACUCUUUGAUGAUGAGAAAGUCAACAGCGCUUUUCUAUCCGGUCUGGAAGCAGAAAAAAAAUUUUAAAAAAAGGAAGCAAUGAAAGCAAAUGAGACAGACCGACUAUAUUGAUCCAGCAGCCAGAAGCCAAUUUAAGUCUUUCCCUUUUUAUUUUUGUGAAAAACAAGAAAAAGGAGAUGAGUUAAGUGGGUAGGAAGGAUAAAUUUAGAAAUUUCUCGACGUUUUUUUUUGUUGUUGCUUCCGGUCGCGGGAAUUUCGUUAAAAAAAAAAAAAACACGAAAAAAAAACGAUAUUGGAUACAGACGCGCCUCAUAUAAUGACAAUGAGCGAUUCAGCCAUGUUGAAUGCCGGUGAGCGAUUGGCGCUUCAAUGCGCCGUAGUUAAAGGUGGAUUGCCGUUGUUCGUCAGCUGGUCGAAAGAUGGCCAAGUGAUUGCACCGACAACUGCAACGACGACGACUAGCGUCCGUUUGGUGAACGAAUUCACAGCCACGUUGACGAUUGAAUCGUUGACUGGACAACAUGGUGGAUGGCUUUAGAGCAGCAUUAGCCUUUGCUAUAUCUCCACAUCAUGUAAAUGGAAAAUCUCUGGAACUUCUUGUUGAGAAAUGAAGCCAUUGUGCAUAUUGCAUCAACCAAGGGCGAAAUGUUACCACAUAUAGGCCAAUGUUACAACGGACACAUGAAGUCUGUAUGUUGGUACAGUUUAUCAACAGGCAUAAGAGCAUGUUCGGGCAAUAAUUGUGGGAUAGUUUAGGUAGAUUCUUUGCUGCGUCAUAGCUCGGGAGUCGUAACGGGCAAUAUCCUUGUGCAUUAAGUUGGUGAACUCUUGUGUUCCAUUGGGUAAUGCUAUCAAAUCUUAAUGUGCUAUUUGUGAAAGAUUUUAUUAUUCUGUAUGUUUUAAAGGAAAAUAUUUCAAAUUGAUUUAUUUGCAUGUUACGGAGUUGUAUUUUUCUGAUCUGUGGAGCCUGACAUUUUCCACAAUUUCUAUCGGCGGACAAAAUGUCUUUUAGGAUUGGUAGCAGCUUACGAAGCAGUAGGUUCCAACAUCAUCUAACGUCUGCUUUAGUAAUGGCAGGGAUGUGAAGGAUAAUUUGUGAAAUCAAACAACUUAAGCAGGUGCCUAGCUCAACAACUCCUAUGAAAUCUAGAUUGGUGGUGGUAGUUAUAGGGCGCCUGUUCAGGCAACAGUUUCGUUUUUUAAUCCGCCAAGGAUUUAUGCGUUAUUGCGUCUACUGUGUAGCCUGAGUAGCAUACGCAAGGGGGCGUUUAUCUACAUUCCUGAUCACCAAGCAGUUACAAAUAUGUUCUACACUGAUAAGCAUCCGAGGCAAAGUGCGAGCUGAACUAGUCUAUUGCCCCUCAACUCCAGAGGGCACUAGUUUACAGCAACUCGGGCUCACCCUUUGGUUAAUUUGAGAUACUUUUCUGGACGGUUCAGAAUCUUAUUAUUGGCCAAAAUUUGAUACGAGAUUAAUUGAUACUUAGUCCUGUCAGACCUCAAAUUCUACGGUUUAUAAUUCUUGUUCUAUGACCGAUUUUAUUAUUAUUAUUUUUUUAAUACAGAGAGUGGAUUCUCAUUUCUUCUUCAUACCAGCGAGCAGAUUUGAGGUUUAAAAUUGUUUUAGGUUGUUAAGCAAGUCUGACUUUCUACGAUGUACAUGGCCGCCAAACUUUGUCGUUAUGUCUGACUGUUAAUCAGUAAGAAAAACGUCGAAUUAUUGACGAUACGUUUGUCAAAAUGGCAAAUACAACGCCUAACGAUUUAAAUCCAACUUGGGAUAAUCUACUUCUCGGACAAGGUACUUUGAGACCGGAUCUAAUUGAGUCCGCUUUCCAUAUGGCUUCUUCGCGCACGGUUGCCAUGAAGACUCGUCAUAACGAUUCCGAAAUGGUUCGUCAAUUUCGCAUUCACGGCCGUGUAGUAGAACCUAUUAAAGACUUCCUUAAAGAUGAAGUAAGAGCCUUAGGUCGUGAGCUGGGUUCCUGCACAAUUACUGGAACGUUACCCGUUUCCUGGUCCCGGUUUGUCAAUUUGAAUCAUUUACGCCGAAGAGCCGUUCUUGGAAGCUAAUUUCGAUGAGACGCAAGUGCUGAUUCGUUCGAUGGUCCAUUAUGCCAACAUAGCAGCCAAGGAACAUGCCUUGCUCAAUCGGAUUGAAAUCGUGACGUCGGAAGAAGAACG